UGCAAGUCGAACGGAAAGGCCGGGUGCUUGCACCCGGUACUCGAGUGGCGAACGGGUGAGUAACACGUGGGUGAUCUGCCCUGCACUUCGGGAUAAGCCUGGGAAACUGGGUCUAAUACCGGAUAGGACCAUCGUUUAGUGUCGGUGGUGGAAAGUUUUUUCGGUGUGGGAUGAGCUCGCGGCCUAUCAGCUUGUUGGUGGGGUAAUGGCCUACCAAGGCGUCGACGGGUAGCCGGCCUGAGAGGGUGGACGGCCACAUUGGGACUGAGACACGGCCCAGACUCCUACGGGAGGCAGCAGUGGGGAAUAUUGCACAAUGGGCGCAAGCCUGAUGCAGCGACGCCGCGUGGGGGAUGACGGCCUUCGGGUUGUAAACUCCUUUCAACCAUGACGAAGCUUUCGGGUGACGGUAGUGGUAGAAGAAGCACCGGCUAACUAC
rnacentral:rRNA from 1 species